GUCCUACGGGGGGCAGCAGUAGGGAAUUUUCGUCAAUGGGCGCAAGCCUGAACGAGCAAUGCCGCGUGAACGAAGAAGGUUUUCGGAUUGUAAACUAUUGUCGUGAGGGAAGAAAUUGACAGUACCUCAGGAGGAAGCUCCGGCUAACUAUGUGCCAGCAGCCGCGGUAAUACAUAGGGAGCAAGCGUUAUCCGGAUUUAUUGGGUGUAAAGGGUGCGUAGACGGGAAAUUAAGUUAGUUGUGAAAUCCCUCGGCUUAACAGAGGAACUGCAACUAAAACUGGUUUUCUUGAGUACUGGAGAGGA
rnacentral:rRNA from 1 species